rnacentral:rRNA from 1 species
CACCAGAGUCACAAGUGGCAAUCAUAAUUAUUGGGCCUAAAGGGUUCGUAGCUGAUUCAAUAAAUCUUUUGUGAAAUUGUUAGACUUAAUUUAACAUUGUGCAAAAGAAACUGUUGAGUUUGAGACCAGUAAAAGGCAGAAGUAUUCUAGGGGGAGUGGUAAAAUAUUAUAAUCCCUAGAGGACUACCAAUGGCGAAAGCAUCUGUCUUGGAUGGGUCUGACAGUGAGGAACGAAGGCUAGGGGAGCAAUCCGGAUUAGAUACCCCCGUA